rnacentral:rRNA from 1 species
CAGUAGCGUAUAUUAAAGUUGUUGCAGUUAAAAGCUCGUAGUUGGAUUUCUGGCAAGGCAGAGCUAACCUGGCACUAUGUGUCGUGUGUUGGACUCGGUCUGCCAUCCUUCCAGAAAAGCACUAAACCAUUCAUUUGGCCUUGGUGUCGAUCUGGGACUUUUACUUUGAAAAAUUAGAGUGUUCAAAGCAGGCGUUACGCCGUGAAUACAUUAGCAUGGAAUAAUAAUCUAGGACUUCAGUUCUAUUUUGUUGGUUUCUAGGACCGAAGUAAUGAUUGAUAGGGAUAGUUGGGGGUGCUAGUAUUCAGCGGCCAGAGGUGAAAUUCUUGGAUUCGCUGAAGACUAACUUAUGCGAAAGCAUUCACCAAGGAUGUCUUCUUUAAUCAAGAACGAAAGUUGGGGGAUCGAAGACGAUCAGAUACCAU